rnacentral:lncRNA from 1 species
GGCAAUGAAAGCCCACCGGUUACUCUCUCUACCACCCUCUACUUUUUGCUCUCUGUUUUCUCGCAGACUCCCCGAACCAGGGAGAGACCAAGAAGAAGAAAAAUCCAACCGUCUCUCUGUCUCUCUCUCCCUGUUCUUUUGUUUUCUGUUUUCCUUUAUUUGAGCCCUCCUUCUAGACGUCAAAUGCACCAAACGCCCUCCUCUUUUUGUCUUGCCCCCCGUCCUCUCCGUUUUCUCUCCUUUGGUUCCCUCCCCUUAUCCUUUUCUUAUCCGCCGAAUCCUCUUCUCUCCCUCGGUUUUGUUUCUUUUAUUUCUU